rnacentral:rRNA from 1 species
UACAGAGGGUGCGAGCGUUAAUCGGAAUUACUGGGCGUAAAGCGUGCGUAGACGGUUAUUUAAGUCAUGUGUGAAAUCCCUCGGCUCAACCGGGGAACGACGCAUGAAACUGGCAGCUAGAGGUACCAAAGAGGGGGGUGGGAAUUCCCGGUGUAGCGGAUGAAUGACGUAGAUAUCGGGAGGAACACCUGUGGCGAAGGCGGCCCCCUGGUUGGAUACUGACGCUGAGACGGCGAAAAGCGUGGGGAGCAAACAGG